UACGGAGGAUGCGAGCGUUAUCCGGAUUUAUUGGGUUUAAAGGGUGCGUAGGCGGGACCUUAAGUCAGCGGUAAAAUUGCGGUGCUCAACGCCGUAGAGCCGUUGAAACUGGGGUUCUUGAGUGAGCGAGAAGUAUGCGGAAUGCGUGGUGUAGCGGUGAAAUGCUUAGAGAUCAUACAGAACACCGAUUGCGAAGGCAGCAUACCGGCGCUCAACUGACGCUGAGGCACGAAAGCGUGGGGAUCGAACAGG
rnacentral:rRNA from 1 species